rnacentral:lncRNA from 1 species
ACCCGAUUUAAUCUGGUUACUACUCCUGCCCAGUAACUAGAAAAUGCAUAUAAUGAUUGGCUUUGGAUAGAAAACACCCUAAAGUUUCUAAAACUGUUUGAAUGGUGUCUGUGAGUAUAACAGAACUCAUAUGGCAGGCCAAAACCUGAGAAGAUUCCAUGCAGGAAGUGACCUGUCUGACAAUUUCUUGCCCUUCUUCAUUAUCUCUAUCCAUUACAGAGGAUCUCUGCUGUUACGUGACACUUCCUACAGCUCCCAUGGGCUCUCAGAAGGCGGCAAAAAGCUGAAUUGUGGCUUUGCAGGCUCUGGUUGAAAAAAAGUAGCGCGUUUGGGUAGUGGCUGGUUACAGUACUGUGAGACUCAGGCUUGUGCCCGCAUCGACAGAAUGCUUUGUUUUCUUUCCUCUGUUUACCUAAACGCAGAUUCCAGGUCGGAAUAUUAUCGUUUUUUUACGAGAAAAAUGGCAUAAAAAUUGAUUUUAAACAGCGGUUGACAUGCUUCGAAGUACGGUAAUGGAAUAUUUAGAAUUUUUUUGUCACGAAUUGCGCCAUGCUCGUGACCCUUAUUUACACUUCGGAUAGUGUCUUGAACGCACGAACAAAACGCCGCUAUUUGGAUAUAACGAUGGAUUAUUUUGGACCAAACCAACAUUUGUUAUUGAAGUAGCAGUCCUGGGAGUGCAUUCUGACGAAGAACAUCAAAGGACCUGAGCCCUAGGACCAUGCCUCAGGACUACCUGACAUGAUGACUCCUUGCUGUCCCCAGUCCACCUGGCCGUGCUGCUGCUCCAGUUUCAACUGUUCUGCCUGCGGCUAUGGAACCCUGACCUGUUCACCGGACGUGCUACCUGUCCCAGACCUGCUGUUUUCAACUCUCUAGAGACAGCAGGAGCGGUAGAGAUACUCUCAAUGAUCGGCUAUGAAAAGCCAACUGACAUUUACUCUUGAGGUGCUGACUUGUUGCACCCUCGACAACUGUGAUUAUUAUUAUUUGACCAUGCUGGUCAUUUAUGAACAUUUGAACAUCUUGGCCAUGUUCUGUUAUAAUCUCCACCCGGCACAGCCAGAAGAGGACUGGCCACCCCUCAUAGCCUGGUUCCUCUCUAGGUUUCUUCCUAGGUUUUGGCCUUUCUAGGGAGUUUUUCCUAGCCACCGUGCUUCUACACCUGCAUUACUUGCUGUUUGGAGUUUUAGGCUGGUUUUCUGUACAGCACUUUGACAUAUCAGCUGAUGUAAGAAGGGCAAAAUAAAUACAUUUGAUUUGAUUUUAUUUUUGGUACUGUAUCUCUGUACUUGUUUGUGAUGAACACAUAGCCUAUCAUUAAUAUGCAUAUAAUUGUCAAAAGAGAAUCAGAUGAAUCUGAUGAUGAAUGUCAAAGGAUAGUUCCAAUGUCUUUCUUGUUCCAUGUGUUAUGUGUUACUCAAAGUGAAAUUUGUUCACUGUUUUUUCCAUUCAUCCAUUUACUCACUCAUGGAUUCAUUUAUAUGCAUGUAGGAUGUUUUUAUUAUUAUACCUGCAACCUGCAAAUGUAUUAUUUUAUUUGCAUUUGCAUUUAUCCCACCUCAAUCAUAAUGGCACUGCCUCUGUCCCUCAGUCAAGGUUAGGGAUGGUGCAGGUUUAAAAUCAGUUCAAUAAAGUGAGGAGGUAGACAGUGCACUUCUAGCAUACAGAGUGGAGCAGAGAGAGAUGAGGUGAUUUGCCACCGUGGCUCACAAGCAGCUCAGGUGUGUGAGGGACAGAGUGACGAGGGAAGGAAGAGAAUAAGAUAUCCCCAUAGCAUCUUUCUAUGAAAUAAAGGACAGAAUAUGUAACGGUCGUCGUAAUGGAUGGACCAAGGCGCAGCGGGUUGAGUGCUCAUAUUUAACUUUUAAUGUGAACACUUAAUCAACAAAACAAGAAAACAAACGGACGACAACCAGUCUUGCAGGCAACACACAGCUAUGCCAACAACAACCUCCCACAAAUCCCAUGACAAACUCAUUCCUAUUUAUAGGACCUUCAAUCAGAGGCAACGAUAGACAGCUGCCUCCAAUUGAAGGCCCCAACCCCAAUUACCUAAACAAAGGAAUAGAAAUGACUAGACAGAACAUAGAAAUACACUAACAUAGAACAAUGACUAAAACCCCGGAAUACAUAAACCAAACACCCCUCUACAUACACACUCACCCCGAACCAUAUAAAACAAACACCUCCUGCCAUGUCCUGACCAAACUAUAAUAACAAAUAACCCCUUUACUGGCCAGGACGUGACAGAAUAAGAGUAUGUUGGGGAAAGGAUUUGGUUGAGACAGAAGUGGAGGCAUUGUACUAAAAGAAAAGCCUAGAGAGUGGUUCAAUAUUCCCCUGUAAAUACUGCAUAUUUCCCUGUGUCUCUAAGUCACGUGUCUCUGUGCUUCAUCUUUCCUCCCGAAGGCACUGGGUUCAGGGAGAUUAAAUAUGGGCCCUGCUCUCACAUUGGAAUUCCCCAGCAUGUUCGCACCACACUACUUUGGUGGUGACACAUUGCUAAACUAAAUAGAUUGGAUUGAAAAAGUGCUGUGACUGGGAAGGUCAAGUCUUCCAAUACCACUGAAGCAAGCUCAACCUGAUUCAGCUCGCCUGCUUUAACCUGGUGCUGGGCUGGCAGACCCCUCCCCACCCCCCUACUCUCUUCCUACUAAUAACAUAUAGUUAAAGCUGGGUUCCAACACGAACAUUUACUGUAGAUGUGGAAUAAGAAAGUAAAAACUGGUGGAUGAAAUUACAACAAUACUAUAACUGAUUGGUUUCAUAAACUGUGAUCUGUUAUAACAAGCGAAUUAGGGUCAUAUAUGACAUACCCUUAGGAAUAAAAAGGGAAAAAACUGAAUGAAAUACUUGUGCUGCGUUUAACUGUGUAUUAAUCAAAAUAAAGCUG